CCUACGGGUGGCAGCAGUGGGGAAUAUUGGACAAUGGGCGAAAGCCUGAUCCAGCCAUGCCGCGUGUGUGAAGAAGGCCUUCGGGUUGUAAAGCACUUUCAGUGGGGAAGAAAGCCUUGGGGCUAAUACCCUCGAGGAAGGACAUCACCCACAGAAGAAGCACCGGCUAACUCCGUGCCAGCAGCCGCGGUAAUACGGAGGGUGCGAGCGUUAAUCGGAAUUACUGGGCGUAAAGCGCGCGUAGGCGGUCUGAUAAGCCGGUUGUGAAAGCCCCGGGCUCAACCUGGGAACGGCAUCCGGAACUGUCAGGCUAGAGUGCAGGAGAGGAAGGUAGAAUUCCUGGUGUAGCGGUGAAAUGCGUAGAGAUCGGGAGGAAUACCAGUGGCGAAGGCGGCCUUCUGGACUGACACUGACGCUGAGGUGCGAAAGCGUGGGUAGCAAACAGGAUUAGAUACCCUAGUAGUC
rnacentral:rRNA from 1 species